rnacentral:RNase_P_RNA from 3 species
GGAGUUGGCCGGACAGUCGCGGCCCCUUAGGGGGCGGAGGAAAGUCCGGGCUCCAUAGGGCAGGGUGCCAGGUAACACCUGGGCGGCGCGAGUCGACGGAAAGUGCAGCAGAAAAGAUACCGCCGAUGACUCCUUCGGGAGUACAGGUAAGGUUGAAAUGGUGCGGUAAGAGCGCACCGCGUCGGUGGCAACACUCGGCGGCAAGGUAAACCCCACCCGGAGCAAGACCAAAUAGGGGAGCUGAGGCGUGGCCCACGCUGCUCCCGGGUAGGUCGCUUCAGGUGCGUGGCGACACGCAUCGCAGAUGAAUGACUGUUCACGACAGAACCCGGCUUACAGGCCGACUCCCAAC